AACUCGUCGUGCACACUGCACGAAGAUUUUCCAGUCACGAGUUAACUUGUUAUUCUCGAUUAACAGGUUGAGUAGACGAAGAAGAAGAAGAAGAAGAAGAAAUAGGAGAAAAAGGAGAGGAAGAGCUCGGCCCUCACCGACUGCAUGUUUUUCAGGAUGUCUGCGGCCACGGUCAUAGCUUGGCUAAACGCUCUUGUCGCGACGAACGAUCUCUUGAUCUGGACGCCCAGUUUCUGCGGGACGUCGCCGAACGGCCUCAUCUCUUUCAUACUUUCGCCCACGCACUCCAGAUACUUGUUGUCGAAAUCGUAUUGGCUGUUCAGAACGGUGAACAUCUUCAGGUAGAGAGUGUUGAAGAAGUUGUCCAUGGCAUCAUUCAAGUUAACCUGAAACAAUAAUUCGGCGCUUGGUCGAUCAAGUUUGAAAAGACAAUCGAGAUUCAUCUCAUUUAUAGGGUAAGGUGUUCGCAAGUACCAUAGAUGGACAAAGAUCCGCCAGAUCAAUGAUUAGGGAAAUGAACUCUGUUUCAACGUCGGUCUCGAGGUCGCAUUAAACGGAAAAAAAUAAGUAUCUCGGAUAAUGAACGCAGGCAAAAUAAUUCUUCAGCAUCGCGUCGAACACUCGAGACGUACGAAGUAUUACCGCUGAUCGAUCGAAAAAGGGGAAACAAAGAAGUAUAGUCCGAGGAUUAUCCAUUCAUAGAUAUUUCCCCCGGUAUAGUUUUCCAUCCUGGCCAAUAUUCGAGAGCGCACCGAUCGAAGGAAUAAUCCGACGGCCGUAUUAUCGAGUCGUCGUGGCAUGGAAACGUGGGGAAGUAUAAUAAAAAAGAAAAAAAAGGAGAGAGAAACAAGGAAACGAUGAAUCCUCGAUAAAUACGAAUUCUCCUGUUCCGCGAGACGGGACGCAAUGUACAGGGUGGCCCCUUAGUAAUACCUAACGCAUACGCGUAUGCACAAUCGGCAUCGAUCGAACAGACGUGGAAAAUAAAGGUAGAAAACGCAAACUUACCGUCCCUUUGGCGUAAUAAUUCUCCAGUUCCUUGUACAGAUCCGUGAAGACGUACGAGUUCUGCUCGUAAAGCAUGCCGUAAGUUUUCUUGAACAUCUCGUGGAAGCUCCUCUUGCUGUCAGUCAGCAGAAGUUUGAAGAAACCUGGAAAAAGAAGGAAGAGAAACCUUAUCGGUGAUCGCAGGGACCUCGAUACGGACGCGUGAAUGGAAACCAAUUCGCCGGAAAUCGCGAUUGCAACUAUUAUCCUGCGGGUUAAACUUUGAAAAAUCCUGCAUACAUUUAAAUAAGAAUCCUUGUUGCAUCGUGUUUCGGGUCUGUGUGACUCGAAUCGAGUAACCAGGUUACGGAUUGAGUUAUGUUACCCUAUCUCAAAGGGUUAACCCGCUUUCUAGACAAUUUGAGAGCCGUUCUCCCACUGGUUACUCGUGGCCUGCUGUAACCUGCCUCGGUUAACAAGGUUAAGGUUAGGUAACGAUUAGUGUUCCUGAAACGAAGCUGUCGUAAGUCUGAUGGGCCAAUGAGACGAUUAAGAUGGCUCGCGACAUUCUAACACCAAAAAUGGUGUCGGGAAAUAAAGAGAAAUUAUGAAAAAGAAGAACUACCAUGCGAUUAUCAUGAGAAAAAAUUUGAUACAUAGACUGUGAAU